rnacentral:rRNA from 1 species
UACAGAGGGUGCGAGCGUUAAUCGGAAUCACUGGGCUUACAGGGUGCGUAGGCGGCCCAACAAGUCAGGUGUGAAAGCCCUCGGCUCAACCGAGGAACUGCGCUUGAAACUGUUAGGCUCGAGUCAGCUAGAGGUGCACGGAACUUCCAGUGGAGCGGUGAAAUGUGUUGAUAUUGGAAGGAACACCGGAGGCGAAAGCGGUGCACUGGGGCUGGUCUGACGCUGAGGCACGAAAGCCAGGGGAGCGAACGGG